rfam:Picea glauca, whole genome shotgun sequence.
UACAUGAGGAGGUAAGUAGACAAAAUAAGGAUUGGUAGGAGGCCCAUUGACCCUAUUUUGCAUCAUGUUUUUAAAAAUAUUUCAAGACAAAACCUAAGCAUAUCGAUUUUGGCGACGUCAUUGUUGGUGCUCUGAUCAAAUCCCCCUUGGCCUCUUUAUCUCUGAUGUUGUCUCCCACUUGGAUAUUUAUAUCACUAUGAACCCCACACUAUCUCUCUUUCUCUGAUAAAAUACCCCUUGGACAUGGGUUCUCUCUUGCUGUGUAUCUUUCACAAGGUUUGGGUGCCCUACGUCCUCCAACUACAAGCUAUGAAUGGGUGCGGGCUUCCCCUUCAAUACCAAUGUCUGAGAAAAUAUCCCUUGGUUGCGAGUUCUCUCUUCCUCUGUCUCUGUAUCAGGCCGGUUUGGGCACUCUACAUGGUCCUACAACUACAAGCUACUAUGAUUAUUGGGCGCGGGCGAGGGCAGGGGGGUUUAUUGUUUUGUGCAAUUUGAAUUUUUAUGUUUUUAAUUUUUUUAUUAUGUUAUAAUAUAUAUAUAUAACAGUCGACUCAGUAAUUAAAACAAAUAAUUGUGAUGGUCCAUGUGGAUGCUGACACAAUGUGAUUUAUGCCCACUGCUAUGAAUGUUAAAGUGAAUAAAUUCAACCAAGCAAAGGUAAACGACGGGAGUAACUAUGACUCUAUUAAGGUAUCCAAAUUCCUCUCCAUCUAAUUGGUGAUGCACAUGAAUGGAUUAACUAGAUUGCCACUAUCCCUAUCUACUAUCUAGCGAAACCACAACCAAGGGAAUGGGCUUGGCAUAAUCAACAGGGAAAGAAGACAUUGUUGAGAUUGACUGUAGUCUGACUUUGUGAAAUGAAUUGAGAGUUGUAGAAUAAGUGGGAAUCAUUUUUGGCACAAAUUAAAUAGCACUACUUUUAACAUUAUUUUACUUAUAAUUUUGAGGGGCAGAGACAGGGAAGUUACCCUAUUUUUGGCCUUAAGUCAUGUUUCAAUGGGUCGAUCUGGGUGGAAGACAUUUCCAGGUGGGGAUUUUGGAUGGGGAAACACAUAUAUUAAAAUAUAGCAUAAAAUAUAAUUGGUGUAGAUAGAUCAUUUUUAUUUGGUAGAUCCUAGUGCACAACCACCCUUAUUACCUUUCCCUCCUAAUUUGUAGUUACACCCAAUCAUUUAUAAAUUGAAUAUAGUUUCCUCACUUGCACAAUAUGGAUAUAUUUGUGAACCCUAUAUAUUAUUAAAUAUUUAAAAACCCCUAUCCAUGAUCCUAUGGUUAAAUACAAAUGAAAAAAAAAAACGUGGAUACAAAAAUGCCACCCAUUCCUCUUCAAGGUCCUCCC